rnacentral:rRNA from 1 species
CCUGCCGACGUGCUAAUACAUGCAAGUAGGCGCACAUUUAUCCGUAGCUUGCUUCACCAUAGAUGGAGUGCGAACGGGUGAGUAACGCGUAGUAACCUACCUAUUAGAGGGGAUACUAUUGGAAACGAUAGCUAAUACCGCAUAACAGUAUGUAACACAUGUUAGAUGCUCUAAGAUGCAAUUGCAUCGCUAGUAGAUGGACCGGCGUGUAUUAGCUAGUAGGUGGGGUAAAGGCCUACCUAGGCAACGAUACAUAGCCGACCUGAGAGGGUGAUCGGCCACACUGGGACUGAGACACGGCCCAGACUCCUACGGGAGGCAGCAGUAGGGAAUCUUCGGCAAUGGGGGGAACCCUGACCGAGCAACGCCGCGUGAGUGAAGAAGGUUUUCGGAUCGUAAAGCUCUGUUGUUAAGGAAGAACGAGUGUGAGAAUGGAAAGUUCAUGCUGUGACGUACUAACCA